rnacentral:misc_RNA from 1 species
UUGAUUUUAGUUAUUUGUGAACGCACUACGAACAGACAAAAAAAUAUUAUAGUCAAAAAAAAUUAAAUCA